rnacentral:tRNA from 1 species
GUUUAUAUAGUUUAUGAAAACAUUCCAUUUUCAAUGGAAAGAUAAGAGUAUCUUUAUAAA